UGCUAUGCGCAGCUCGGGACGCGCACCUCUGAUAUUGAUUUUAUCUAAAAUGAGUAGAAGCGCAUCAUGGUUUCAGCCUUUUCGAUCCUGGACGCAGAGCGUGACGCCACUGCAGCCUGAAUAUAAUAUGAAGAUUUAAGCCUCGUGUCUUGAAGAUGAUGACCUCAUUAAAUGUAUUUAAAAGCGCACAAACCAAUGUCGUAAAAUUCACAGAUGAAUCGUGAUGAACCGUGAAAGAAAAAUCACAAAGGUGUCGCAUAAUGUGAAUACAAUGCCGGCUGAUUAUCCUCUUGAGCAUUGGGAGAGCAACUGAAUAGAAAAUGCCAACAAAACACUGAAGCGAACUACGAUUUUUUUAUUUACCCUUACUGUUUUCUAGUAUUAUGAAAUUGAAACUUUAUAGUGCUGUGCCAGUUUUGGCUUAAAAUUGAAUUACUUUCAUGGGUGCAGUAAUGGUAAAGCAAAUAAGAUACCAUUGGACGCGCUUUCUUAACAGUAAUAUGUAAAGGAGCGUGUACCUGGACGUCUUUGGACGAAACUGAGUGGAAAACUGGAUGGAAAUAAUGCAAAUAAUUGAGUGCUGCGCUGUGUCCGGCUACAAAGAAUAAAACAGCCCCAACUCAUUCCGCGGGCGUCGUAAAAAGCGACUGAGGAAUUUAAGCCAGAUUCGAUCCUAAAAUCCACAACCUAAGCACAAUAUACAGUUAAUGACUUGAAAAC